rnacentral:rRNA from 1 species
GUGGGGAGCAACAGGAUUAUAUACCCUGGUAGUCCACGCCGUAAACGAUGAAUGCCAGCUGUUGGGGUGCUUGCACCGCAGUAUCGCAGACUAAAGCUUUUAACAUUCCCCCUGGGGAGUACGGGCCCAAAAGUAAAAAUCAAAAGAAUUUACGGGGGCCCCCACAAACGGUGGAGCAUGUGGUUUAAUUCCAAACAAAGCGCAAAAACUUACCAUCCUUUUACAUGUCGUGUAACCCAGAGAGAUUUGGGGUCCAUUUGGGUGGAACCCACACAGGUGCUGCAUGGUUGUCCUCACCUCUUGUCGUGAGAUGUUGGGUUAAGUCCCGCAAGGAGCGCAACCCACGUCUUUAGUUGCCAUCAUUCAGUUGGGCACUCUAGGGAGACUGCCGGUGAUAAACCGAGAGAAAGGGGUGGAUAAUUUAAAUUCUUAAGGCCCCUUAGGGGAUGGGAUACACACGUGUUACAAUGUCGGUAACAGUGGUACGCGAAGGAGCGAUUUGGAGCAAAUCCCCAAAAGCCGUUUCAGUUCGGAUUGCACUCUGCAACUCGAGUGCAUGAAGGCGGAAUCGCUAGUAAUUGUGGAUCAGCAUGCCACGGUGAAUACGUUCCCGG